rnacentral:rRNA from 1 species
CGCAGCCGCGGUAAUUCCAGCUCCAAUAGCGUAUAUUAAAGUUGUUGCAGUUAAAAAGCUCGUAGUUGAAUUUCGGGGUUAGUAGAUUGGUCAUGCCUUUGGUAUGUACUGGUCUUACUGGUUCCUCCUUCCUGAUGAACCGUAAUGCCAUUAAUUUGGUGUUGCGGGGAGACUGGACUGUUACUUUGAAAAAAUUAGAGUGUUUAAAGCAAGCUAACGCUUGAAUACAUUAGCAUGGAAUAAUGAAAUAGGACGUUCGAUCUUAUUUUGUUGGUUUCUAGGAUUGACGUAAUGAUUAAUAGGGAUAGUUGGGGGCAUUAGUAUUCAAUUGUCAGAGGUGAAAUUCUUGGAUUUAUUGAAGACUAACUACUGCGAAAGCAUUUGCCAAGGAUGUUUUCAUUAAUCAAGAACGAAAGUUAGGGGAUCGAAGACGAUCAGAUACCGUCGUAG